UACAGAGGGGGCAAGCGUUAUUCGGAAUUAUUGGGCGUAAAGGGCGCGUAGGCGGUCAGCACAAGUCAGUUGUGAAAUCUCCGGGCUUAACUCGGAAAGGUCAACUGAUACUGUGCGACUAGAGUGCGGAAGGGGCAACUGGAAUUCUCGGUGUAGCGGUGAAAUGCGUAGAUAUCGAGAGGAACACCUGCGGCGAAGGCGGGUUGCUGGGCCGACACUGACGCUGAUGCGCGAAAGCCAGGGGAGCGAACGGG
rnacentral:rRNA from 1 species